AUACAUUUAUAGAUACCAAAAAUCUUUAAUAUAUAUCAUACACAUCUUCUAUAAUACAUCUCAAAAUUGUAAAACUAAAAGCUAUGGUACAGGGCAAGACUGGGCACCUAACUACUACCUCACUUGCUUCUUUCCUUUACUUGAAACCAUAGUUAUAAUAUCUGAUAAGUAGCUCACAUAGUAGGAUUACUAAUUAUAAUAGAACAUUUAAAUAGAAAUAAAGAAUAUAAUAGCUUAUUAUGAUCAUAUAAGCUAAUAUGAUCAUUUAUCUUCCUAAAUAUAGCUAGCUUAGUGCAAGACUUAAGUAAAAAUCUACAUUGAUGAUUUGAUAAGUAAAGGGCAUGAUUGUAAGCAAUGAAUAUGAAUAUAUGUUAAAUAGUAAAAUAUAUUUGUAAAGAGUCACAUUUUUAAUGUACUACAUUAAUCAAUUGCUAGUGUAUAAUUAUUUGCUUUAUUUUUUAUUUUCUUCUCAAUAUAUGUUUAUCAUUUUCUUAGAAAUAUUAUAUAUUGUUUGUAUAUACUAGCUCAUCGACCAUUAUUAUGUUUGAUAAAGUUUGGUUAGCCCAGCAUUGUAUUUAUCAAUGGCCCCUCGAUUCAAGAAUUUUACGGGUGAUUCAUGCUCCAAUUUUCCUCCAACAUUUUGCAUCUAAUAGAACACAUAUGAGGGAUCCUCAUGGAAAUUGGAUUGCGCCACCUCCAAAUUAUGAACCAAUUAUAGCUCAAGGUUUGUUCCUAGAGCUUUUACCAUUGCAGUUGCACUGUGUCUUUAAUUCUAGUAUUUUCACAAAUACUUUGUUCAGAAAAGUAAUAGAUUGAAUAUAAUAAAUGGAUGCAAAGUUAAAAUU